GAAGGGGCGGGAGCGGAGAGGGGCGGGCGCGGAGAUGGCGCUGGGGUGGGCGGAGAGCUGCGGGUCACGGCCGGGCAGUGUGGGGACACGGCCGGGCAGUGCGGGGACGCGGCCGGGCCGUGAGGGGACACGGCCGGCAGUGAGGGGACACGGCCGGGCAGUGAGGGGACACGGCCGGGCAGUGUGGGGACACGGCCGGGCAGUGCGGGGACACGGCCGGAAACUGGCGGGACGUGGCUGGACCAAGGAGACAUGGCCGGACUGAGGGGACAUGGCCAGACUGAGGGGACACGACCAGACUGAUGGGACAUGGUGGGCCACUGAGGAGACACGGCCGAACUGAGGGGACAUGGCUGAACUGAGGGGACAUGGCCAGACUGAUGGGACAUGGCCGGACUGAGUGGACAUGGCUGAGAGCUGAGGGGACACGGCCGGACUGAGGGGACAUGGCCGGACCAGGGGACAUGGCCAGACUGAGGGGACACGACCAGACUGAUGGGACAUGGUGGGCCACUGAGGAGACACGGCCGAACUGAGGGGACAUGGCUGAACUGAGGGGACAUGGCCAGACUGAAGGGAUACGGCCGGAUUGAGGGGACAUGGCUAGAAUGACGGAACAUGGCCGUGAAGUGACGGGACAUGGCCAGACUGAAGGGACACAGCCGGGAAGUGACGGGACAUGGCCGGACCAGGGGACAUGGCCGGACUGAGGGGUCACAGCUGGGAGCUGAGGAGACACGGCCGGACUGAUGGGACAUGGCCGGACUGAUGGGACAUGGUGGGGCGCUGAGGACACAUGGCUGAAUUGAGGGGACAUGGCCAGACUGAAAGGACACGGCCGGAUUGAGGGGACAAGGCCAGACUGAUGGGACAUGGCCGUGAAGUGACGGGACAUGGCCGGACUGAGGGGUCACAGCCGGGAGCUGAGGGGACACGGCCGGGAGCUGAGGGGACACGGCCGGACUGAUGGGACAUGGCCGGACUGAGGGGACGUGACCAGACUGAUGGGGCAUGGCCGGACUGAGUGGACAUGGCUGAGACCUGAGGGGACACGGCCGCACUGAUGGGACAUGGCCGGACUGAGGGGUCACAGCCAGGAGCUGAGGGGACGUGGCCAGACUGAUGGGACAUGGCCGGACUGAGGGGACGUGGCUGAGAGCUGAGGGGACACGGCCGGACUGAUGGGACAUGGUGGGGCCCUGAGGGGACAUGGCUCGGCUGGCAGCGAGAGGGAAAGGGGUGACAGGCAUGGCGUGAGGCAGCAAUGGGAGGCUGGAGCACACACCGCUGAGGGGCACCCUUGGAGAUGUGUGCGGGUCUGGGCCCCUCACUGCGAGAAGAAGUGGAGGGGCUGGAGGUGUCCAGAGCUGGGAAAGGGCCUCAGCACAAGUGUGAGGAGUGGCUCGGGGGCUCAGGCUGGAUGGAGAAAAGGAGACUUAGGGGGACCUUUUCUCUCUCCACAGCUCCCUGUCAGGAGGGUGAGCCGGGUAGGGGAGGUCGAGCUCAGCUCCCAGGGAACAAGGGACAGAACAAGAAGAAACCACCCCAGGUUGCACCAGGGGAGUUUAGAUUGGAUAUUAGCAAAAAAUUCUUCACUGAAGAGGUGAUUAAACAUUAGAACACCCUGCCCAAGUUGGGAUAGGGUCCCCAUCAACUCUAGGGAUGGAGUGCUGUGACUGACAAGGUGAUGCUUGGUCACAGGUUGGACUCGAUGAUCUUGGAGACCUUUUCCAUCUUAAAUGGUUCUGUGAUCCUCUGAGCCCACACAGGCUGUGUGUCCCUAUGUCCUACAAGUUCGUGGUCCUGUCUGUUCCUUCACCAGGCAUUGCAAAGGAUGAAAGCGACCCAAAGUACACCUUGAGUGUGGUGGAAGGAGCCUGGGAGGGGAUGUGGCUGCGGGACUGAGGCACCUGCAGAGGUCACCAUUCCUCCACCGAGGCUCUCGUUGGGAACGGAUCUCGCUGUGGAAUAACCAGCCUGUAAGAGAUAAUGCAGCCAACAUCAUUAUCUAAACAUCGUGAGGACUGCAGAAAUAUCUCUGGGUAAUCAAGACAUUUUCCUUGAAUAUGAAUUUUCAUGAAUAGAGCUCUGCUUUGGAUAACCAGCAAUCUGAGUGUGGCCGAGCUGGUUGAGGUGGAACUAUAUUUAGGCAGAGCUGGAUUGAGAAACAGCAGAGCUGGAAGAGUUCAUGGUGAUGAUUACAGUGAGCUCCACUUGUUAGAGCUGAGCAGACAGGAUGUCUGCAAGAGGCAAAGUGCACAGCUUGGUUUUGCCUAAAGAUGAACUGCAGUAAAUGAGGGGAAUCCAAAGGGGAGCUUUGGUGCUGAGUGAUGAGUUUGUGUCAUAUUUCUGUGGAGCAGGCUCGGGGCCUUCCUGGCUGGUGUUGAGAUGGGAGCUGUUCCCUAGGGAAGUGCCAUCCCCAGUGGUACAUGCAGCAGGACUCAGGGGCUGAGCAGGGCCUGCUGAGGGCAGGGAAAGCUCAUUUGGGCAGUCUGACAGUGUUCUGUGCCUGACUGAGGCUCCCAUCCCACCCCAUCCCAUCCCAUCCCAUCCCAUCCCAUCCCAUCCCAUCCCAUCCCAUCCCAUCCCAUCCCAUCCCAUCCCAUCCCAUCCCAUCCCAUCCCAUCCCAUCCCAUCCCACCCCACACACCCCUUGGUAGCACAGAGCCACCUCUGCAGAGCCUGGGGCAGGCACAGUGCUUGAAAGAGAGACCUGCAGAAACCACAGCUUCCCACAUUUGUCCACUGCUUAUGGAUGCUUUCAAAAUCCCAAUAAUGCAGCAGCUGGUAUAAUACUCCAGGUAUUUUAUUCUGUUUCCAAAACAAUCCACAGAUUUAUCUCAGCCCUGUAGGGCUGUUUCCUCAGGCAUAAACAAAUGAAGGUCACACUAAGCCCUGCACCCAUGCAAUGCAAACUGUUCUUUUUCCCAAAGAUUAAUGAGUAUUUCCAUGAAGUUCCCAAGCCAGGGUAGCUGUGAGUGGACAGUGCACAUCUGCAAAGUGCCACUGAAGGCUGUAAAUGCCAGCAGAGCAGGCUGGCUGCAUCCAACUCCAGGAAUGAGGCUUAAUAAAUACUUAACUCAGCCUAAGUGAGGAUUAGGACUGUUUUCCAGUUUAUCAUGCAUUUAGAAGUGAAUUUAAGAAGAGUGACCAAACUACUUAGGAACCAUUUUUUGUGUCAUUCAGGUUUUGAAUAAUGAAAGUAUUUUUCCUAAGUUCUUCAUGGCAUUACUUGCCAGGUUGUUUUCUAAAAAGCUACAUAGUGGAGGUUGAAGGAAAAAAAAGUUGCUAGUUUAGCUUCACAGAGGUAAAGAAAAGAAACAUUCUUGUUUCAGAACAUAAUAAAUAAAAUAAAAGUUGGCUUGAAAGAAAGAGAAAAAAUUAUUUGAUGAAUGAUAUAUUUAGCUACUGCAACUUUCAUAAUGCAAGCUUAAAAAAAUAAUUUUUGUGUCUAACUGAUGAUUAUCCUAUCAUUAGUAUAAAAUGUAAAUUAUGUAAAAGUAUUGAGUUACUAAAUGCUGAGGCAGCUUCCAGGAUCAGCAAAACCAAAUGGAGAGGGACAGGGGUUUUCUCCAUAAUGGGCAGAUUUUUUUGCAUUGUAAACCAAAAAAGCCCUUUUGAUUUUGAGUCAGGAACAUGCACUUUGUCAGUGAAAUUUUACAUAAGAAAAUACUCUAACGGGUGAAGACAGUGAGGACCUUCCUCACAGCCCCAGCAUUGCACCCAGAAGGGUGUGGUGCUGUCAACUGCAUCUCCCAGAGAAACUUUCUGGCCAAAUUUGCUUUGUAGGGGUUGAGUACUUAGUGAAAACUAUUCUGAAAUUACACCAGUACCAAGCAGCAUUUUGUUCUUAGUGAUCAUAAAAAUCUAUCACCAGUACAUCUUCACUGUUAUAUCUAAAUCUUUCUAUCUAUAGCACUUUCCUAGAUUUGGACAAUUGAAAUUACUCAAGGGGCUAGCUUGUAGCCACAUUUUUUUUUUAAAUUUGGUAUUAUUUUCCUUUCUUCUUCUGGAAAAAAAAAAAAAAAGGAUAUGGAAGCAAAUGCUUGUUCAUUUAUUUAUUCCAUUUGUCUUUAUUAUCAUUUAGUAGAACUCCAGCCUGAUCAAUUUGAAAUAAUCUUGGAUUUUCAGUUGCAUUCAAUUUUUAUUUGUUAUACAUCAAAAUUAAGUUUAGCUUUUCUGCUGUAGCAGAAAAUCUCAGGCAUGUAAUUGUUUCUUUCUUAUUGAUGUUUUAGUCUGUUCUCAAUUCUGUAAUUUAGUAUCUUUUUCUCAGUCUCUCAAUAUUUCUCAUUCAGAGGGAUAUAGAAUUGAUUCUUUCAUGUUAUCUCCCUUUCCCAGUUCUGGCAGCUUCCCCUGUCCUCUGUUUGAAUCCUCUGCCUUUAACUGACUAUUUUGGUUCCCCCAGAAAGUGUCUUCUUGUAUGUCAGGGUCUGGAUUCCUGCAGCUCACCUCAGCUCCAGGUCAGCAGAGGAUUCAGUUACACACCCAGCUCCAGAGAGGUGCCUCAGAGCAGUGCCAGUUUGACUCCCAGGACCUUAGCAGCUCCUGACUUUUUUCUGAGUUCUGAAUGAAGCUCCAGCACUGAGGACCUGAUUCAUUGGAGCACUGGCCCAGGACCUCAGCUGUCCUCUGGUCUGUUUGACUCUGUGAAAAACACCCUUGUUGAUUUGGAGAGCUCCCUAAAUCACAAAGUCCUGACAACUCCUCCAGAUUCAUGGUGUUUGCUUUCCUUGGCAUGUCCCAAAGCACCCUUCUGUGUUGGGCUGCACCUGUGAUAUUCCAGCAGCUCCCUUUGUUCCCAAGCCAUUAUGUCUUCCUACUCAAAUUUCCAUUCAAAGAGUGAUUCAUGCAGCAGGGGAAAGCCAUGACCUGGCUGCCCCCUCAGUUUCCAUCACUGUGCACAUCAUGUGCAGUCCCAUCCGAACUGUAGCUUUCAUUUCAGAUUUCUCUAUUCCCAUGCCUGAACUAAGUCUUUUAUUCCUUACUCCUCUAGUCUGCACUGGGAACAGAGAAUUAUUUGCUACAUAAAGAGGUUUUUGGGAAAAAAAAAAAAAAACAACAAACCUAGAUUUGGUCACAGGAGUAAUGCAAACACAGCAGCAUGGAUUUUGUAUUCCCUAGGAAUGCCUUUUCUCACAGGGUUGGUACCUGUGCCACAGCUGCUCUGUGGACAAAGCACAAGUUUGACUCAUUAUUUCAGCAUCCUUUUUAUUUAAUAAAUAAUAGCUUCCAUAACUUGAAUGUUUGGUUCUGAUGUCCAGCUGGAGAGAACUGCACACCUCCACCAGCAGUUUUUCCAAGAGCUGCAUCUCUUCAGGCAUCCUUCCUAAAGCUUUUGAAGUCUUCCCCAGUCCCUGCACUGCUUUCCUUUUCAUCCUUUGAAUUGCUACCUUAUGGCUUUUUGAGUCUCUUCCACACUGUCCCUCUAACCUCAACACACUCAUUUGUAAAUUCAGUUUCCUUUACUGAGCAGUUGAAGCAUUCCCUGUUUGAGAAAGUUUUAAAAGACUUUUUGGUUUGUGCUUUUUAAAAAUUUUAUUUUAUUUUUUGGCUGGUUUGUGGGGGGUUUUUUUCCCUCUCCUUGCCUAAAUAGCAAUUCUGGGUUCACAAGACUCUGAGGUUUAAAUUGAGUUCUCUGAGACUUGUUGGACUCCUGUCAGGUGAUGUGGUAGAUGCUGAACAGGCAUCUAGACCCACUGUAAUUUACCUGUAAAUGUAUUUAUAUAUCAUAGUUCCCAGUGAAGCAAAACCCUUGGCUCAAUAAUAGAAACAGUAAUAUUCCCACUAGGGAUUUUAGAAGAACCAGAUUAAGGAAAGAAUAGUGAUUUUUUAAUAGCUAGAAUCAACCUUCUUUUUCCCUUGUGUCACAAGACACGGGGAAAUCUCAAUUUCAAUUAGAAGUUAAUAUUGCAUCAUGAAAAUGGGAUAAACAUGACAUUAAGAAGUGAAAAGAAGGGAUAUUGUAAUGAGAGCUCAAGUGCUUUUAGUGACUUCUUGUUUAAUUCCAUAAAAUAACCUCUAUUUAAACAUUAUCUGAAGCAGCCAGAGCUUUCAAUAGAAUUCAGAGAAAAUCUGCUGGAGACUGUACAUGGCCAUAGCAGAUUUCCUAGAAAUAUUACCAAAUUGAACUUAAUUGUAGCAGAUUACAUCUCAAGUUUGCAUUUUUCAGUUUGAUUUACUUUUGGUAUUACUUUGUUUCUGAAGCUUUCAAAUCAAAAACAUUCUUUGUGCUCCCUAGGCUUGGUUUUGUUAGUUUAUUUUACAACAGGAUGCAUCAAUGUCAUCUACAUGUGACUUUCAGUUUUGCUUGAAUUGACACCAAAACCAAGGUGGUGGUUGGUUCCCCCUUCCCCUCUUUUACUCACUGGCAUAAUUUCCAUCCAGCAAAGCUUUUGAAAAAUAAGGAAGGAAAAGGCCUUCCUGUACAAGCUACCUGUGAAUCCCAUCCAAAUAUAAAAGACUUGUGUAAAAGCUUGGCAGGAAAUCCCAGCAUAUGCCACUCAGUGACUUCCUUAUUUUAUGCUAUCAUUCCACGUAGAGAAAAUGAAUCUGAAAAUCCCAGCAAUUUCCAUUCAUUUUUGAAUACGAAACUGUAAAUGGUAAAUUUCCUAUCUGUGUAUAACACCCACAUUUUAAAUCAAAAGUCUUGAAUGCUGACAGCAUUAGUCAUAGGAAAUCCUGUAUGAACAUCCAGCACUUGAGUUGGACCUUCCCCUGGAUCACACCAUAGAAGGAGUUUACAGGAAAACAUUCUGUUGCUCUCAAAUCCUGUGUUGAUUUUAACCCUCUACCUGCCAUUGACUCUAGUAUGACAGUACUUUUUUUUUUUUCUAAAGGCCAUUUGCCAUUUUCUUGUGAUCAAAAUGGUACUGAAAAACAAUAUAUUUCAAUGUUAAAAUUGUCUGUAUUUUAAUAAUACACCAGUGGCAUUCUGUAGUACAGAUGUGCACUUCAACACCCUCCCUUAUGAGCACAAAUAAUCUUCAGUGAAUGCUGUAAUUUGAAUAAAAAUGCCUAUUUAGAAUAUUAUAUUUUUAUGUUAAUAUUAAUAUAUUAAUUACCAGCAUGAAACAAAGUGCACAGGUCAGUAAAAAUGGAAAGCCAAAAAAGCCAACAAAGCUUUGUACAUUAACCCAUGACAUGGCCAAUGCAAUACCAGCAACAAACCCAGCUGUGCUGCAUGGGAUCAUUUUCACAUUACAUGGCUGAAUCAACUGUGACAA